UACAGAGGGGGCAAGCGUUAUUCGGAAUUAUUGGGCGUAAAGGGCGCGUAGGCGGCUUGGCAAGUGGAAGGUGAAAUCCCUCGGCUUAACCGAGGAACUGCCCUCCAAACUGCUUAGCUUGAGACCGGGAGAGGUGAGUGGAAUUCCCAGUGUAGCGGUGAAAUGCGUAGAGAUGUGGAGGAACACCAGUGGCGAAGGCGGCUCUCUGGACUGUAACUGACGCUGAGGCGCGAAAGCGUGGGGAGCAAACAGG
rnacentral:rRNA from 1 species